UGACUAGAAGAAGGGAAACAGAAUGGUAAGGGGAUUAAAAACCAUUCCAUGCAAAGAUCUAGGAAUGUUUAUCCUAGAGGAAAGAAGGACUUCUAGCAGAACUGGAGACUGGGGUGGGAGAGAGGAAAGAAGGAAUAAGACACCAAGAUAGAUACAUUGCCAUUUGGGCUGUCAUGUGGAAGUAGAGGGCUGACCUGUGAAACUGGUUUUCCUUGAUCUCCCUGCAACAUAGGAGCAAUGUUUGUAGAAAAGCUUUAUAGAAGAGCUAAUUCCCUUCCACUGAGUUAGAACUGUCCAAAAAUUGAUUGAGCUGCCUCAGGAAUUAGUAAGUAUCUCAUCACUGGGGGUCUUCUUCAAACAAAGAAUGAAUAAUUAUUUCUAGGGGAAUAUCGUAAGCAUCUCUCUCUCUCUCUCUCUCUCUCUCUCUCUCUCUCUCUCUCUCUCUCAGGAAAAGGGACCACACAUUAAAGACUGGAAAUUAGGUCUGCAUUCCACUGUUCUUCGUGCAUAGUUCCUGUACAGACCUUGAAGUGGGACAAAAGGGCAGAAGUUGCAGCCAAAGGAGUCCUUAAAGGAUCAACUGAUAUUCAUUUACAUCUCAGGGGAAACUCCCUAUCUCAUGUGUUCUUAUUUCACACGCAGGAAAGGCAUCUUAAGUCAUUUCCUGACAUCCUUCAUACCCAGAGUCUACUCUCCCACUAUUGGCUGAAGGAAGUGCUGGCAGACUAGUGGAUCAAGUCGUCUCCCCAUUAGGUAAAGAAUGUGGCUUUCUCAAAAGACGACAGAGAGGAAACUAUAAUGGCCUGCCUAUUGUGAAGCUGGAAUAUCUCUAGGAAAAUCAGCACCUUAAAAAUAUGCAGCUCCAGGUUGAGGUUGAAACUGCUAGACAAAGCUGAAUGCAGCCAAUGCAAAGUCUUGAUCUGAAGUAAGCAGGCAUUAAAGCAACUCUUGCUUAGACUCCUCAGGUUCCUUUUUGAUUCUGUUAUACAGUUGUUUUCUCCUAUUUGAAUGUAGGUCCCUUUCCAGAUUUUUCUUUCCUUGACCAGUCUUUACUUGAUCUUUAAAGGUGAGAAUUUAGCAAUCUUCCGGCUUAAUAACUGGGGAAUGAUUUAUUCCAGCUGACUAUGCUGGGGACUUGGACUUCAGUCCCUUUUAGGGAUCAAUUAGUGCCUGAUGGACACAAGACAAUGACUUAAAAAAUUUAUUUUUAUUGUAGUGAGUAGUUCACCAUUGGAGUCACUUUGCUAGGUCUCCCUCUCAGGGUUCUAGGAGUCUGUCUGAAG
rnacentral:lncRNA from 1 species